rnacentral:rRNA from 1 species
UACGAAGGGUGCAAGCGUUACUCGGAAUUACUGGGCGUAAAGCGUGCGCAGGCGGUUUUGUAAGCCAGAUGUGAAAGCCCCGGGCUCAACCUGGGAAUGGCAUUUGGGACUGCAAGGCUGGAGUUUGGCAGAGGAGACUGGAAUUCCUGGUGUAGCAGUGAAAUGCGUAGAUAUCAGGAGGAAUACCGAUGGCGAAGGCAGGUCUCUGGGCUAUAACUGACGCUCAUGCACGAAAGCGUGGGGAGCAAACAGG